UCGAAACCUGCACAAGCAGAACGACCCGCGAACUCGUUUACCAACCCGGGGGGUCGGGGCCCGGCGCGAGCCUCGCCCCGCCCCCCAAACGUCGGGAUGCUAUCCCGCCCCACCCGGGGCGGYGGUCGCCKCCCGGCGCCAACGAACCCCGGCGCGGAUUGCGCCAAGGACCAUGUAUGCUAAGCGCGUCCCGCGGCCCCCGGUCGUCCGGGGGGAGCGGCGACGCGUCRAAAGAAAACAAAACGACUCUCGGCAACGGAUAUCUCGGCUCUCGCAUCGAUGAAGAACGUAGCGAAAUGCGAUACUUGGUGUGAAUUGCAGAAUCCCGUGAACCAUCGAGUCUUUGAACGCAAGUUGCGCCCGAAGCCAUCCRGCCGAGGGCACGUCUGCCUGGGCGUCACGCAUCGCGUUGCCCCCUCCCCCCGCGGGAGGGGGCGGAUGUUGGCCUCCCGUGCGCUGCGAAGCGCGCGGCUGGCCUAAAUGCGGAGCCCGCGGCGAAGGAGCCGCGACGAUUGGUGGUAUGCAUCGCGUCGCGCGCCCCGCAGUCAGCCGGCGCUCGUAGGACCCGAGGGGAUGCUCCCCGAAAACCCUUGCGACCCC
rnacentral:rRNA from 1 species